rnacentral:miRNA from 2 species
CCCGGAGCCAGGAUGCAGCUC